GAAACCAGAGUUCAGACUAUGGUCUCCUGAAAACUCCAUUCUUACGACUCAACAAGGACUAUGUGCAUGGAGCCUUGCUUAGUAUAUUAAGAUGGAAAAUGGCUCUACUGAGACUCUGUCACUCUUUUCGGAAAAUCACAAAAGACACAGAUUGCCAUUGAUCAGGCCUCUCAGAAAUGUAAUACUGUUUCAGAAAAGAGAAUAACAGAAAAAGAAAGAAAUUGCAAAAAACCAUGCGCUGAGAGAUAGGUCACAAAGUGGAUUACAAAGGACGGUGGCCAGUGAGAUUCCAUCAUUGGUGAAUGGCUGGAGACUUUUUUACAAAAAAACUAAGCAAUAAUAACAACAACUAAUAAUCCUCCUCAUACUCAUCACUUAGUCUCUGCGACUCAAGUCCAAGUAAAGAAAUGAACCAGUGCUAAGAGGAACCUGAAUACGACUUGUGAUGCUUUGAAUUUUCAGAUUUUAACUUUUAAAUGAUGGAGCCUGACAUUUGAAUCUUGAUUUCCUUGACUGUUAAAGAGAAAAGAAUAUUCAUCAUUAUUACUCUCCACUUGCUGAACCUCCACUUUACUCUGGAUGUUAAAAGAAAAAAAACAACAGAAUGAGAAGGGUGAAGAAAAAUCAGUCAAUAUGUUAAUGAAAUUGCUAAGAACAGGAAGUGGAAAGAAAGCUCUGGACUAAGGAGAGCAGUGGCAAAUAAGGGCAAGAAUGGGACUUUGUCCAAAACCAGGGAAAACGAGACCUAGCCUCCUGUUGGUCAGAGGAGAAAUGUGCCACUGACACCCAACUCUUUCCAGCUCUUUUAUAACCCAGAAAUUAA